GUCCCAGGUCGCUUCCCUCUCUUUCUCGCCUAUCCGGUCUAACAGUCCUUGGCCAAGCUUGGUGGGAAGGCUAUGCCAAUAAGGAAUCCUGUUGUUGCUGCUGAUUUUUCAAGCUUGACUGGGACUGUGAAUCUGUACCUGAAGAUAGACCUGGUAGACAAGAUCAUUGUAGGUCCAUGCAGUUCCUUCUGAGUUCCCAAAUGGAAUAUACUCAUACGGCAUUGCAUAAGGCAGCUUCUGUAUUGCAGCUUCAAAGACAUCAAUGCAGUACCCACUGACAGUCGUCAUAUUUGUGA